rnacentral:rRNA from 1 species
ACAUGCAUAAAACACAACAUUAAUGCAUCGGAUCCCAUUAGAACUCCGUAGUUAAGCACGCUAGGGCUAGAGUAGUACUGGAAUGGGUGAUCGCCCAUGAAGUACUAGUAUUUUACAUGCC